rnacentral:rRNA from 1 species
UACGUAGGGGGCAAGCGUUGUCCGGAUUUAUUGGGCGUAAAGAGCGUGUAGGCGGCCAGGUAGGUCUGCUGUGAAAACUCGAGGCUUAACCUCGAGCUGUCGGCGGAAACCAUCUGGCUAGAGUCCGGAAGAGGAGAAUGGAAUUUACGGUGUAGCAGUGAAAUGCGUAGAUAUCGUAAGGAAGACCAGUGGCGAAGGCGAAUCUCUGGACAGUUACUGACACUGAGGCACGAAGGCCAGGGGAGCAAACGGG